ACUCAAAGGAAUUGACGGGGACCCGCACAAGCAGCGGAGCAUGUGGUUUAAUUCGAAGCAACGCGAAGAACCUUACCAGGGCUUGACAUCCCUCUGAAUGCUGUGUAACGGCAGCAGCCUUCGGGCAGAGGAGACAGGUGGUGCAUGGUUGUCGUCAGCUCGUGUCGUGAGAUGUUGGGUUAAGUCCCGCAACGAGCGCAACCCUUGUCAUUAGUUGCCAUCAUUAAGUUGGGCACUCUAAUGAGACUGCCGGGGAUAACUCGGAGGAAGGUGGGGAUGACGUCAAAUCAUCAUGCCCCUUAUGUUCUGGGCUACACACGUGCUACAAUGGCCGGUACAACGAGAAGCAAGGGAGCGAUCCGGAGCAAAUCUCAAAAACCGGUCCCAGUUCGGAUUGCAGGCUGAAACCCGCCUGCAUGAAGCCGGAGUUGCUAGUAAUCGCAGAUCAGAAUGCUGCGGUGAAUGCGUUCCCGGGUCUUGUACACACCGCCCGU
rnacentral:rRNA from 1 species